rnacentral:rRNA from 1 species
AACGUAGGUCACAAGCGUUGUCCGGAAUUACUGGGUGUAAAGGGAGCGCAGGCGGGAAGACAAGUUGGAAGUGAAAUCCAUGGGCUCAACCCAUGAACUGCUUUCAAAACUGUUUUUCUUGAGUAGUGCAGAGGUAGUCGGAAUUCCCGGUGUAGCGGUGGAAUGCGUAGAUAUCGGGAGGAACACCAGUGGCGAAGGCGGCCUACUGGGCACCAACUGACGCUGAGGCUCGAAAGUGUGGGUAGCAAACAGG